UAAUACAGAGGGUGCAAGCGUUAAUCGGAAUUACUGGGCGUAAAGGGCGCGUAGGUGGUUGAUUAAGUCAGAUGUGAAAUCCCUGGGCUUAACCUAGGAAUUGCAUUUGAUACUGGUCGGCUAGAGUACAGAAGAGGGAAGUGGAAUUUCCGGUGUAGCGGUGAAAUGCGUAGAUAUCGGAAGGAACAUCAGUGGCGAAGGCGACUUCCUGGUCUGUUACUGACACUGAGGCGCGAAAGCGUGGGGAGCAAACAGG
rnacentral:rRNA from 1 species